rnacentral:tRNA from 1 species
UAGAGUUUAGUUCAAAGGUUUAGAACUUUAGACUCAUGAUCUAAACACUAGCUGCACCAUAAAAUGCUCAAUCCUAGUUCUAA